GGGGGGGACUGUCAGGGUUAUCAUGUACAGUUGAGCAGGUUGCACACUGCUCAAGGACAACACAUUAAAGGAGGUGCUGAUAACAUCCUAGCCAUCAUGUAUGGAUAUUUGUAUUAUUACAACUUCCCAGCAGAUGGCAGUAAAGUGAGUUGACCGAAAAUAAUCUGUGUAUUAUGGCAGUUUUUCUUUAGAUGAAAUGUCCUGGGGUUAAGAUCCUUUUUCCUAAUUUGCAUGAAGGCAUCAUAUGGAUUUAAAAGGGUAUAACCGUGAUCUGGGAAGCAGGAACUAGAUUUCUUGUUCCAUAAAAUUUUGACUUUCCAUCUACCUAUUCUAGGCUCUAAUACCUCCCAUUCCAAAAUAGCAUGAACCAGCAUUUCCCAAAAGCCUGUCAUUCAAAAAAAUAUAUAUAUUAAGGGAAAUAAAAUCCAGUCAUUAGAGCACCCACUUUCACUGUAUGCUUCACCUGGGGGUCCCCAGUAUUAUCUCUUAUGUAAUAUGUUUCUUUAAAUCAAGUCACACCUGUAAUCCCUGCAUUUUGAAAGACCACGGCAGGAGUGUUGCUUGAGCCCAGGAGAAUGAGACCAGCCUGGGCAACAUAGUUAGACUCUGUCUCUACUAAAAAUUAAAGACAGAAAACAGAUACUGUUAUGGAAAUCUAACCAAAUAUGGCUGCCUGCCUAAGGCUUUGUGCAUUGACAACUGCUCUUUCUUGGUUAAAGAGGGAAAAUGUCAAUGGUAGGUGUUAACAUGGUAGCAACUAAGUAAUAAUUUCUCCUUCACUCAAAAGGAUUGAGAGAGUUGGAAAGGAAGUAACUUUGUUACCUUGUUUUUCUGUGUUGGGCUCCUGUAUCACUUAAAAGCAUCUCUGGUAUCCCAUCUGGGAGUUUUAGAUCCACAGAAUGCCAGGAUUGAGUCCGACUCCUCCAACACUUAUUUCUGAAAGCUGGGGGGACCUUACCCUAGUGACUUGACUUACGACCUUGCCUGUAAAAUGGGAAUGAUCACGGCAGUAUUUUGGUAUGAUGGGCCACUGGAGGCAGAAGGUUGGGCAGGUCCCCAGCCCCUCAUGCUCUCUGUCAACUCCACCCCACAGGCUGUGUUUGACUGUGUGGUGAACUCACUUAAAAACGUCUUCAACAUCCUCAUCGUCUACAUGCUAUUCAUGUUCAUCUUCGCCGUGGUGGCUGUGCAGCUCUUCAAGGGGAAAUUCUUCCACUGCACUGACGAGUCCAAAGAGUUUGAGAAAGAUUGUCGGUGGGUCUCCACUUUCCAGCACAUUCCCAUUGGAACUGGCAGGUGGGCAGGGGGGAAGUGGCUAGAGGCAUUGGCCACUUGGGCUCAGAGACUGGAGAAGUGAUGAGCCUUGGAAGCGACUCAGUUGCAACCAGCUUGGAUCUUGGGUAGAAAGAAAACCGGUUUUAGAAUGUGAGUCACCACCCAUAGCCACAGAAUGAGUCAUAAGCAAAUUGAUUGACCUUUCAGCCACCGCCUUUGUCAUGUGAGGGAUAUUAAUAUACAUCCACAGUUCCUUACUUGAAAUCGUUACAGGCAGAUGUGUUUCAAAGUUGAGUAUAUUUUGAGAUUCCCAUGUGGGACAUGACACCCUCAGCUGGGUCUAAGGCAGCCCUAUAAUCAAACACAAUAUUUCUGCCAUAAAAUGUGUAACUAUUUACAUCAAAUGGGGUAAAUAACAAGUAUAAAGAGCUUCAUGUCCAAUCAGAUCAGGUUUCAUUACCAAAUAAGUUAGGUAAGAGGCCAGGUGCAGUGGCUCACACCUGUAAUUCCAACACUUUGGGAGGCUGAGGUGGGAGGAUCACUUGAGGCCAGGAGUUGGAGACCAGGUUGGGCAACAUAAUGAGAGCCCAUCCUACAGAAUAAAUUUUAAAAGUUAGCGGGGCAUGGUAGCACACACCUGUAGUCCCAGCUACCCAGGAGGCUGAGGCGGGAGGAUUGUUUAAACACAGGAGUUCAAGGCUGCAAUGCACUAUGAUGGUACCACUGCACUCCAGCCUGCGUGACACAGUGAGACCCUGCCUCUCAAAAAUAUAUACAUAUAGGCCGGGCGCAGUGGCUCAUGCUUGUAAUCUCAGCACUUUAGGAGGCCGAGGCGGGCGGAUCAUGAGGUCAGGAGAUCGAGACCAUCCUGGCUAACACGGUGAAACCCUGUCUCUACUAAAAAUACAAAAACCUAGCUGGGCAUGGUGGCAGACGCCUGUAGUCCCAGCUACUUGGGAGGCUGAGACAGGAGAAUGGCGUGAACCCGGGAGGCGGAGCUUGCAGUGAGCCCAGAUUGGGCCACUGUACUCCAGCCUGGGCAACAGAGCCAGACUCCAUCUCAAAAAAAAAAAAAAAAAAAAUAUAUAUAUAUAUAUAUACACACACACACACACACACACACACACACACAUUAUGUGUGUGUGUAUAUAUAUGUAUGUGUAUAUAUAGUGAUAUUGUUACCAGUGUAAAGUGGCAUUUUGCAACACAUGGUAGCCUGUUGUUAUCUUGAUGACUAUUGAAAUUAGGAGGAUGCCAGAUGUCUGGAUAGGAGUCUGGAACUAACCCUUGUUUCCUGCCUUGAAAAGGAGUAGCAACCUCCCUUAGCCUGAUGAACCUCUAAAUGUCCCCUAUGUCUCUCUGCCUCCUCCUAAACUCCCUCCACCCGACCCCCAGCAAGCCUGAGGCUCUCACCCUGAGGACUAGAAGUUACCACGUUGGAAGAGGGUGCUGGACCCUGGGUCAGCUCUCCCACCAGGAGUAAGGUUGUGCCAUCACCCAUGGAUUUAUCUCGAAGUAGAUGCACACGUAAUCCCCUAUGAAGCACAGGGACACAUGGUGGCAGGAUGGGGAGUCACUGCUUCCCAAGCAGUCUAGGCUGGUGGACCCCUCUUCCUUUCCCUCCCCCUGUCUCUGAUAACCAAAGACAAGUGCAAGACAGCCCCUCUUUCCCAUUUACUAACAGUCCCCACUCUCUGUGGCAGAGGCAAAUACCUCCUCUACGAGAAGAAUGAGGUGAAGGCGCGAGAUCGGGAGUGGAAGAAGUAUGAAUUCCAUUACGACAAUGUGCUGUGGGCUCUGCUGACCCUCUUCACCGUGUCCACGGGAGAAGGCUGGCCACAGUAAGUGGCCCGACUGGAAAUCUAUCCAGGAGGAGCCCCGGGGAGCAGGAGGAUAAAGGGCCUGAGAGCUUAGCAAUAAGAAAGGUCUUGGAGGCCGGGCAUGGUGGCUCACGCCUGUAAUCCCAACACUUUAGGAGGCCAAGGCAGGUGUAUCACUUGAGGCCAGGAGUUUGAGAUCAGCCUGGCCAUCAUGGCAAA
rnacentral:sRNA from 1 species